rnacentral:rRNA from 1 species
UAGCUUAACGAAGUUUUAUGUUAAGUAAUUUCUGCCCUAUGAAAUUUAAAUGGCCGCGGUAUUUUGACCGUGCAAAGGUAGCAUAAUCAUUUGCCUCUUAAUUGGUGGCUAGUAUGAAGGAAAAAAUAAGGUUCUAGCUGUCUCUUUAGCAAAAUAAAAAUUGCUGUCGACAUGAAGAAGUGUCGGUACAAAAAAAAGACAAGAAGACCCUAUUAAGCUUUACUUAUACUUUUCGUUUUUUUUCUUAGGAAGAACAAAAAAACGAAAAGUAUUAAGUUUGGUUGGGGUGACUGAAAAGGAAAAAAUCCUUUUUUAUAUUUUAUUAUUUUUCGUUUGAUAAUGAUCCAAUUCUUUUGACUAUCAGAACAAGUUACUAUAGGGAUAACAGCGUAAUUUUCUCGGAGAGUUCUUAUUUAUGAAAAAGUUUGCGACCUCGAUGUUGACUUGUUAUUUCCUGAUAAGGUGUAGAGGCUGUUAGGGUUAGUCUGUUCGACUAUUAAAAUAAC